UACGAAGGGGGCUAGCGUUGUUCGGAAUUACUGGGCGUAAAGGGCGCGUAGGCGGUGUGUCAAGUCAGGCGUGAAAGCCCCGGGCUCAACCUGGGAACCGCACUUGAGACUGGCACGCUCGAGUUCGGGAGAGGAUGGUGGAAUUCCCAGUGUAGAGGUGAAAUUCGUAGAUAUUCGCAAGAACACCGGUGGCGAAGGCGGCCAACUGGACCAUUACUGACGCUGAGGCGCGAAAGCGUGGGGAGCAAACAGG
rnacentral:rRNA from 1 species